GACGAACGCUGGCGGCGUGCUUAACACAUGCAAGUCGAACGGAAAGGCCCUGCUUGCAGGGUGCUCGAGUGGCGAACGGGUGAGUAACACGUGGGUGAUCUGCCCCUUACUUUGGGAUAAGCCUGGGAAACUGGGUCUAAUACUGGAUAGGACCAUGCUGUAGGUGGUGUGGUGGGAAGAUUAGUUUCGGUAAGGGAUGAGCUCGCGGCCUAUCAGCUUGUUGGUGGGGUAAUGGCCUACCAAGGCGUCGACGGGUAGCCGGCCUGAGAGGGUGGACGGCCACAUUGGGACUGAGAUACGGCCCAGACUCCUACGGGAGGCAGCAGAGGGGAAUAUUGCACAAUGGGCGCAAGCCUGAUGCAGCGACGCCGCGUGGGGGAUGACGGCCUUCGGGUUGUAAACUCCUUUCAGCCAUGACGAAGCCCUUGUGGUGACGGUAGUGGUAGAAGAAGCACCGGCUAACUACGUG
rnacentral:rRNA from 1 species